UACGGAGGGGGCUAGCGUUGUUCGGAAUUACUGGGCGUAAAGCGCACGUAGGCGGCUUUGUAAGUUAGAGGUGAAAGCCCAGGGCUCAACCCUGGAAUUGCCUUUAAGACUGCAUCGCUUGAACAUCGGAGAGGUAAGUGGAAUUCCGAGUGUAGAGGUGAAAUUCGUAGAUAUUCGGAAGAACACCAGUGGCGAAGGCGACUUACUGGACGAUUGUUGACGCUGAGGUGCGAAAGCGUGGGGAGCAAACGGG
rnacentral:rRNA from 1 species